rnacentral:tRNA from 1 species
GCCAGAGCAGCAUAGUGGUUUGAGUGUUAGACUGUGACUCUGGAGACCAGGGUUCUAUUCCCAACUUGAUCA